rnacentral:rRNA from 1 species
GACGAACGCUGGCGGCGUGCCUAAUACAUGCAAGUCGAGCGCUGAAGGCUGGUUCUUGUACCAACUGGAUGAGCAGCGCACGGGUGAGUAACGCGUGGGGCAUCUGCUUUUGAGCGGGGGACAACAUUUGGAAACGAAUGCUAAUACCGCAUAAAAACUUGAAACACAAGUUUUAAGGUUGAAAGAUGCAAUUGCAUCACUCAAAGAUGAUUCCGCGGUGUGUUAGUUAGUUGGUGAGGUAAAGGCUCACCAAGGCGAGGAUACAUAGCCGACCUGACAGGGUGGGUAGCCACAUUGGGACGGGGACACGGCCCAAACGCCUAAGGGAAGCAGCAGGAGGGAAACGUCGGCAAUGGGUGGAAAUCUGACCGAGCAACGCCGCGUGAGGGAAGAAGGUUUUCGGGUCGGAAAACACGGUUGGUAGGGAAGAACGUGGGUUAGAGUGGGACGCUGAUCGAGUGACGGUAACUACCCAGAAAGGAACGGCUAACUACGUG